UAUAUCUGAGAUUAUGGACUCGUCCACCAAGCACUGGGGGAAAUCAAACUGUUGAAGCAUCAUAUGAGCGCGUUUUAAAAUUAUUCUUAUGUGAAAUGUUGGAAAACAUGGAUAAUUUCCCUCCGACAAACAUUUACACAAAGUUAAAGUGGUGUGGGUAUCGAGUGGAGUUGGCACACAAUCCAUCAUGAUGAGAUAUACAGUGGUGGGUAUACAGUCCAGAACUGUAGAGUUGUGCAGUUUCCAUUCACCACAAUCUAAUCAGAUUAUGUUCAGGAGAUUGGAAGGGCAGGUCGCGACGGAAAAGCUGUGGAGGCAGCUAUGUUUGUAAAUAUAUACCGAUAUAGUAUCUAGGUAUGCAGACUCUUCAAUCAAAGAGUAUGCAAGAUGUAAAACAUGUAGGAGAACAUCAGUUUGUUAGGGCAGAUGAUACUGAACUGCUGAGUGAGGUGUUGAACCCAAGGAUUAUACAACGUAUCAUUGACUGUAUGGAAAUCCUUCAAAGUAGUGAUGAUGUCCAGAGAGUGAUUCAUCCACCAAAAUCAAUUGGAGACUCAGUGUUCCAGUUGAUUCAAUCUGCAAUGUCUAUUGAUUAGUGAUGUAUUCAGAUAAUGUACAUAUUCAUCUCAUAUCUAUACAUACUUUUAGAGCGAUACGUUUGGUGUAUAUAUACAAAUAUAGACUAUAUAUCGUUUGACCAUUGUCAAAUAAAAGCCAUUCAAAAGA